rnacentral:rRNA from 1 species
AUACCCGAUCCCAUUCCGAACUCGGAAGUCAAGCCUUUCAGCGCCAAUGGUACUUUGUCUUAAGACACGGAAGAGUAGGACUUUGCCAGGC